rnacentral:misc_RNA from 1 species
GAUGAAGAACGCAGCGAAAUGCGAUAAGUAAUGUGAAUUGCAGAAUUCAGUGAAUCAUCGAAUCUUUGAACGCACAUUGCGCCCGCCAGUAUUCUGGCGGGCAUGCCUGUUCGAGCGUCAUUUCAACCAUCAAGCCCCCGGCUUGUGUUGGGGACCUGCGGCUGCCGCAGGCCCUGAAAACCAGUGGCGGGCUCGCUAGUCACUCCGAGCGUAGUAAUACAUCUCGCUCAGGGCGUGCUGCGGGUUCCGGCCGUUAAAAGCCUUAUUUUACCCAAGGUUGACCUCGGAUCAGGUAGGAAGACCCGCUGAGCUUAAGCAUAUCAAUAAGCGGAGGA